GAGGGUAUAGCUCAGUGGUAGAGUGUAUGCUUAGCAUGCACAUGGUCCUGGGUUCAAUCCCCAGUACCUCCA
rnacentral:tRNA from 1 species